rnacentral:rRNA from 1 species
AUUGAACGCUGGCGGCAGGCCUAACACAUGCAAGUCGAGCGGAUGAAGGGAGCUUUCUCCUGGAUUCAGCUGCGGACGGGUGAGUAAUGCCUAGGAAUCUGCCUGGUAGUGGGGGAUAACGUCCGUAAACGGGCGCUAAUACCGCAUACGUCCUGAGGGAGAAAGUGAUGGAUCUUCGGACCUCACGCUAUCAGAUGAGCCUAGGUCGGAUUAGCUAGUUGGUUGGGUAAAGGCCUACCAAGGCGACGAUCCGUAACUGGUCUGAGAGGAUGAUCAGUCACACUGGAACUGAGACACGGUCCAGACUCCUACGGGAGGCAGCAGUGGGGAAUAUUCGGCAAUGGGCGAAAGCCUGAUCCAGCAAUGCCGCGUGUGUGAAGAAGGUCUUCGGAUUGUAAAGCACUUUAAGUUGGGAGGAAGGGCAGUAAGUUAAUACCUUGCUGUUUUGACGUUACCAACAGAAUAAGCACCGGCUAACUUCGUG